rnacentral:rRNA from 1 species
CGCGUAGGCGGUUUUUUAAGUCUGAUGUGAAAGCCCACGGCUCAACCGUGGAGGGUCAUUGGAAACUGGAAAACUUGAGUGCAGAAGAGGAAAGUGGAAUUCCAUGUGUAGCGGUGAAAUGCGCAGUGAUAUGGAGGAACACCAGUGGCGAAGGCGACUUUCUGGUCUGUAACUGACGCUGAUGUGCGAAAGCGUGGGGAUCAAACA